UCCAAGGUAGCCUAGUGGACAUGGCAUCUGUCCGGUAAGCGGAAUACUGUGGGUUCGAUUCCCAUCCCUUGAAA